ACUAAUGGCAACUGGUUGCACCAGUUGUACCCAGUUCCUGCCAAGGAUCUGUGUGUCUGCUGGGUCUGUCCCACAGACCCUGGCCGAUGGAUGAAAUGAGUACUCGGACACAGAGCCGGAGUUGGCCGAACAGCAGUAUGAAACACAUUUAGGUGUGAGUUUCUGAAAGAAGACAACAUAGACAGCACUACUUUCCUCUGCUGCUGGCGUCAGUCCCAGUUUGUCUUUGCAUCGAUGGCUAACUAGAGCCAUGUAGUUAUGGACAAUUACUACUGACUCCCUUAGAACUAGUGAAUUAAUGGAACUCUAAGAACUCACACAUUGGCUCCCAGUGUCCCUAUGACCCAAAGCUGGAUCUGUUCCUUACAGAAUUGCCCAGCCCUCCUCAUUUCCAGGGGAACAGGAGUUGAAAGACCUCUGGCAGCUGAAGGUAAAAGCUCACUAACGGAUUGCAGCUGUUGGACUGUCAGCUGAGAACUGCAAAUGACAGCUCAUCACAGCCGUCAAAAUUUUUAAAUGAUGUUUUCCCUAAUAAAUCCCCCACUGUAAUAAUUUACAAGGGGGAAACUGACUAUAUAGCUAGUGCAAGGAAAAACACUCAAUGGGAUCUUUUGAAGCUGAGUCCGUUGCUGUCUUUCAUAAUUCCAAUGUCAUUGAUCAUUUUUCAGAGAAUAACUGCAAUAGGAAACACAGUGAAAUCAAAA